GACAGAGGAUGCAAGCGUUAUCCGGAAUUACUGGGCGUAAAGGGUGCGUAGGCGGUUUGGUAAGUCUUAUGUGAAAUCUACAGGCUCAACUUGUAGUCUGCAUGAGAAACUGCCGGGCUUGAGUAUGGGAGAGGUGAGUGGAAUUCCUGGUGUAGCGGUGAAAUGCGUAGAUAUCAGGAGGAACACCUGUGGCGAAAGCGGCUCACCGGACCAUAACUGACGCUGAUGCACGAAAGCUAGGGGAGCAAACAGG
rnacentral:rRNA from 1 species